rnacentral:rRNA from 1 species
ACGAACGCUGGCGGCGUGCUUAACACAUGCAAGACGAACGGAAAGGCCCUGCUUGCAGGGUACUCGAGUGGCGAACGGGUGAGUAACACGUGGGUGAUCUGCCCUGCACUUCGGGAUAAGCCUGGGAAACUGGGUCUAAUACCGGAUAGGAGCCAUUUUUAGUGUGAUGGUUGGAAAGUUUUUUCGGUGUAGGAUGAGCUCGCGGCCUAUCAGCUUGUUGGUGGGGUAAUGGCCUACCAAGGCGGCGACGGGUAGCCGGCCUGAGAGGGUGGACGGCCACAUUGGGACUGAGAUACGGCCCAGACUCCUACGGGAGGCAGCAGUGGGGAAUAUUGCACAAUGGGCGCAAGCCUGAUGCAGCGACGCCGCGUGGGGGAUGACGGCCUUCGGGUUGUAAACUCCUUUCGCUAGGGACGAAGCUUUUUGUGACGGUACCUAGAUAAGAAGCACCGGCUAACUACGUG